CUGCCUGUAGCUCAGUGGAUAGAGCGGCGGCCUUCUAAGCCGCGGGUCGGGGGUUCGAAUCCCUCCAGGCAGGCCA
rnacentral:tRNA from 1 species